rnacentral:rRNA from 1 species
CCAACAGGGAUUGCCUCAGUAACGGCGAGUGAAGCGGCAACAGCUCAAAUUUGAAAUCUGGCCCUAGGCCCGAGUUGUAAUUUGCAGAGGAUGCUUCUGGCGCGGUGCCUUCCAAGUCCCCUGGAACGGGGCGCCAUAGAGGGUGAGAGCCCCGUCUGGUUGGCCGCCAAGCCUGUGUGAAGCUCCUUCGACGAGUCGAGUAGUUUGGGAAUGCUGCUCUAAAUGGGAGGUAGACCCCUUCUAAAGCUAAAUAUUGGCCAGAGACCGAUAGCGCACAAGUAGAGUGAUCGAAAGAUGAAAAGCACUUUGAAAAGAGGGUUAAACAGUACGUGAAAUUGUUGAAAGGGAAGCGCUUGUGACCAGACGUGCGUCGGGGUGUUCAGCGGGCGUUCUCGCCCGUGCACUCGCCCCGGUGCAGGCCAGCGUCGGUUCGGGAGGGGGGACAAAGGCGCCGGGAACGUAGCUCCUCCGGGAGUGUUAUAGCCCGGCGUGUCAUGCCCCCGCCUGGACCGAGGUUCGCGCUCCGCAAGGACGCUGGCGUAAUGGUCCCCAGCGGCCCGUCUUGAAACACGGACCAAGGAGUCGAGGUUUUGCGCGAGUGUUUGGGUGUCAAACCCGCACGCGUAAUGAAAGUGAACGCAGGUGGGAGCUUCGGCGCACCACCGACCGAUCCUGAUGUUCUCGGAUGGAUUUGAGUAAGAGCGUAGGGCCUCGGACCCGAAAGAUGGUGAACUAUACGUGAAUAGGGUGAAGCCAGAGGAAACUCUGGUGGAGGCUCGCAGCGGUUCUGACGUGCAAAUCGAUCGUCAAAUUUGCGUAUGGGGGCGAAAGACUAAUCGAACCAU